UUCUGUUUGUGACGUCUGAGACAUGAAAUGGAGUGAUAUCAGUCUUUUUCCAACUUUCCAGCAAAAUCCCAGACUUUGCUCAUAUUUCUGAAAUCCCUGUUAUUCUGUGACUGUAUGUUUUGGCUGAUAGGCUGAAUUUGUAGCCAAUCUGGUGUCAUGCCGCUAGUAUAACUGUGCUCACGGGGAUGCAGCAUUUCUGCACAACACUGCACCUCCUCUGAUCUCUUUAUUUAAAAAUUGAAUUUAUCAACAAACACUAAAGAGAUUUGCUGCUUCGGCUAUGGUGGUUACUAGAUUUCCAAUAUUUUAGAUAUCACUUUAUAACAAGUAUCGUUAACUCAUCUUUUUGUUUAUUGACUUUAUUGCUCUAAGAAUUAAAGUUAACCUGUGUCCAAAUAGAACUAGCUGAACUUGUUCUCAUUGUUUACUGGUUUGCUAACCUAGGGUGUGGUGAUUGUGAAAGGAUAGUGAGUAAGUUAUUAAGCAAGUAUCUUGUGCAAGAAAAGUUCUAUUUCUGAGGUUCUGUUGCCAUAAUGACUCAUUUGCACUUUAAUAGUUCUGUUUGGAAAUAAUGAUCAUAGUUUGUUCAGUUUAUUUAGUAUUCUUUUUUAAAUUUAUCUUCAUCAAUUAAGUCACCAGACUUCGAUCUUAAAGUAGGAUCAUUUUAACACUUUAUAAAAACCUUCAUAUGGGAUUAGUUGUAAACAUACUGCACCAGAUUGAAUGCGGAAAAAUUCUUGUAUCCUUUAAAAUUCCCAUUUGGCUUGUUUUUGAUAAAAUUUUCCUCAUUUGAAACUUUUCUUUUCAAAACAUUAAAAAUUUACAGUAAUGUGCAAAGUUGUGACCCAUUCUUCAUUUCUUUAUAUUUAGUGUUCAAGGAUGCUCUUGUGCUUCUAAAGUUUAAUGUUUGUUUCCAGUGUCUUUUCUCUAAUGUGGAUCUGUAGUUACAGUCAGAGCUGUAUCCUGAUGAGCAGUGUUGCAGUCUUCAAGUCCACUGCAGGGUCCAGCAGAAUUUCUGGAAGUGGAGAAACUGGAGCAAACAAUUUUCUAUGUGUGGCAGUGAUGUCCAACAUACUGUCAAUGCAAUAACAGCAUACCUCACAUGGAUUGGUCUUGAGAGGCCAGACCUCAACAUCGCUGAAGCAGUGUGGGACCAUGUUAAUGGAUAAUGGAACAAUGUCCUUCAAGAAGUCUGGAGACCUUUUCUGGAGAGCUCAGGCUGUGUUGAAGAAGAAAGGUGGUCCUACCAAAUCUGGACUUUCAAGUUUAUUAGAAUUGUUCAAACUCUUUAAAAUAAUCGCUGCACCUUUUUCCCAUUUUCCUACAAAAAUAUAAAGAAAUAAGGAGUGAGUCAAGACACAGUACGGUGUAUAAACAGAUAUAGUAGCGAGUGAAUACAAGAAAUUUUCUUCAAUUGAAGGCCAGUCAUGGUUUAAUUACAAUGCAGGCAACAUGUUCACACAUAUGCGCACAAACUAUUCAGCAAUCAUUCUAACAGUUUUUAGCAAGAAAUUUCACUUUCACCAAAUAAAUAUGAAACAGCUUUCUGGUAUCAAGAUACAUGACUCUAUACAGUAGAGCUUAGAACAUGAAAGAAAAAUAUCAACGACCAAAUGUGGACUUUAAUAUUAACAUAAAGUGAUCACCUAAAAGGCCUGACAAUGCAGAGAAAAAUACUUUAUGACUCUGUAAUAAAAACUCCGCUGUCAUGUGUACAGUGCAACAUAUUUGUGAAUGAGUGUUUCACUAUCAAUGUACCGAGGCCGCUACGAUAAGUAAAUUAGCUUUUCAGUUUC